GGCGAACGCUGGCGGCGUGCUUAACACAUGCAAGUCGAACGCUGAAGCUCAGCUUGCUGGGUGGAUGAGUGGCGAACGGGUGAGUAACACGUGAGUAACCUGCCCUCUUCUUUGGGAUAACGCCCGGAAACGGGUGCUAAUACUGGAUAUUCACUGAUUCUCGCAUGGGGGUUGGUGGAAAGGUUUUUUCUGGUGGGGGAUGGGCUCGCGGCCUAUCAGCUUGUUGGUGGGGUGAUGGCCUACCAAGGCUUUGACGGGUAGCCGGCCUGGGAGGGUGACCGGGCACAUUGGGACUGGGAUACGGCCCAGACUCCUACGGGAGGCAGCAGUGGGGAAUAUUGCACAAUGGGCGAAAGCCUGAUGCAGCGACGCCGCGUGAGGGAUGGAGGCCUUCGGGUUGUAAACCUCUUUCGCUCAUGGUCAAGCCGCAGCUUGGGGUUGUGGUGAGGGUAGUGGGUAAAGAAGCGCCGGCUAACUACGUG
rnacentral:rRNA from 1 species